GCAGUGGACCAAUGAGGCGGCUGCGGAGGCGGACCUGUCGCCCCCUUGCAAAGCAUAAGUAGCCUAGCCGUCAGCGGCGGAAGGAAGGAGGGCAGAAAGAGGAAAAAAGAAAAAAAGAGGACAAUAAGGGGUCUGGGAGGAAGUGGGGAACAAAAGAGCUGGGGAGUAGCACUACACUCUGGCCUGCAGUCCAGGUGACGGUGAAAGGAUGCCAUGGCCUGUCACUAUACGAUGCCUGUAUGCUGAGAAAGCCUCUUAUCCACCCAAGCAGAGCUGUGACGAAAUCCCAAAUAAACACAGCAUCGGAGACAGAGGGAUGUAUCUAGGACGGAAAGCUGUCCUGUCUGUGGGGAACAAGGCAAAACAGAUUCUUCUCUGCUGUGCAGCUGCAGAUCGCAUUCAUAGCAUCACAUGGUCUCCAACAGUGCAGAGCAGAAGGCUAAACAUUGAAGACAGUUUCCUGCCACACAGACCAGCAAUACAGUGCAGUCAAAUGUUCAUUUAGAAUUAGAAGUUUCCUAUCUGUCAUUUGAUUAUAAUUAUUUCAAUAACUGCCAUGAGAGGCAGCCAAACUCAGGUGAAGGGAGAUCAGUGCUUCUUUUCCAGUCCCAUCUAGACCACUGAUAUACUUGCUUUUAAUUACACAUUCAUAUGUACAUAAUGGCUAUCCCUACUAUCCUGCAUAUCUUUUCAGUGUUGACUAUGCACAUCCUCAAGAAUGAUCUCAACAAGUCUGCGAAAUGCAAUUAAGCACAUGAACAGUGGGCAAAUUAUAUCAGGAUGAGAAAUAAGUUCACCAGCAGACUGUAAAUAACAAGAUCAAUGACAUUACUGACUAGCACCCCACUCCUGACCAUAAAACCCCUACAACGUGGACCCUCGUGGCAGCCCAGUUUAUGCAGCAAGCAUAAACUGGGCUAUCCUUCUCCUGCCUGGUCCUUUCAGCAGCCUUCAAUAAACAUCCCUUUGUCUCCUUGAUGUUUAUUCACAUCCUUAAAGUUAGGUGACUUUUGCCAUCAUGGCUACAAUAAUUAGGGGGCAAUCACUGUACGUUUCUGAAAGAAAUAUCCCGACUCACGGUU